CCCACCCCUCCCCUCUCCAGGGAUCACCAGGGACUUCAGAGGAAGUAUUUGUUCUAAUCCUUUCUGGAAAUGGCCUUUGAUAUUUUCUUACUCUGUGUGUGUCUUACUCUGUGUGAUGAUCACCCUAGAAUUGACUUUUUUUUUCCUGUCUCUCUCUCUCUCUUGCCUGGCAAAUGAACUAAUAGCUUAGGAGGGGGAGUGGCUCUUGCCAAAUAAUAGAAAUAUUUCUCUUUCAGUUUAACCGUUGACCCAGCUUGCCAGGAAGCAUGGCCUUUCAAAAGAAAAAUCUAUGAAAUUCUUGUGGGCAAGAUCCUGGAUUUGCAGGGGGCAUCGUUGUAAAUGCCAGUUGCUGGGCUCCUGAAUGGCCACGGCUCUCUACCCUCCCAAGCCCAUGUCACUGACCAACUCAGCACACGUGGGCAUUCUGCUUUUUCUGUGAAUUGAAGUCAUGCCCCUCUUCUCUGUCUUCCUUUCUUUUUCUGCUUGUCACACAACUGGGUGACAAGACCAGUUUUCAAGGUUGUGAUGAUAGUGAGGACUCCUCCCCUGUCCCUCCCUCCCCCAGGCUGCUCUGUGACUGAUCCCUGGAGAGACUGAGAAGGUGGGAGGUGGGAAGAGAGCAGUUGGGAAAAGGGAACUGGAUGGAGAGGGAAGCUACCAGAAGGUUCCUGUCUGUACCACUGGGAAUUGACCCAAAGAACCACGGAAACAAAAUAGUUGCCAGUAAAAAGUAGCAUCAUGGACUCGAUGACUUUAACCACUGAGUCCCCAGGACCUAAGUUAAAAUGGUGUUAAGUAGAUUUGUACUGGAGGACACUUAAAGCAAGAGGCUACAUCUCCUGGCUUUCUGACACUUUUAGGGCUCAAGCAGUGCUGGGGUUUUUCUCUUAAGGAAGGAGAGAAGAGGGAAGAGGAAGGAGGCCAGCUUGGGCUCCACUGGCUGUGGCUGAUGUGCCUUUCCUCCAGCUGCGGAGCACUUUCUGAGUGAUGAAUGAUACAGAACCAUGCCUCCUGCAGCCAGCUGGCCCUGCACCAGGUCUUUGUAAGCCCCAGCCAGAGGCAGCUUUGGUCUCCUGCCAGGAUUGAGGCUGUAGGAGCAAGUCUCAGGUUCUCAGGCCUCACACGGGGCUCUUCCCAGCUCACAGCUGUGGCAGCCCAGACCAGGGUCCUCUAAGUCUCUGUAAGCCUCCUUCAGAGGACCUUUGCAGGCAAGGUCUGCUCUGCUCCCUCUGCCUGUGUGUGUGUGUGUGUGUGUGUGUGUGUGUGUGUUUGCUUUGGCAGACUCUAGGUACUGCUCUCUCCUCCACUCUCAUCUCUUUGAUCCUAAGGCCCCCCCUGUUGCUUAUUUCUUGUCCCUGGAGGUACAGAACAUAUGCUUUCUUUGGAAGAAAGAUCUAGAGGAUGUGUUAGGUCAUUUAAUGGGGGGGGGGAUAUAGGGGGGCAUGGGAUAGGGGAGCAUCUAGAUUAACUGAGCAGUGUGUCUUAAAAUCUUUUGUACCUGUCACUUUGUCAGCUGUAUUUUACUAAACCAGCCUGGCAAAGACAACUGGCAGGCAUGAGAGACUUGGUUACAGUAACACAGAGUUGGGUCAUUGUCUUUCCUGCUCUGAUGAUGCCUGCGUUUUCAUAGUUUAACGGCUUUGCAUUAGAGAGGCAAGCAUUUUUGUAUUUUAAUAAUUGAUGCAUGUUACACAUUGAUAGGCCUUUUUCUUUUCUUUUCUUCUCUUUUGUUUUCUUUUGUUUUCUUUUCUUUUCUUUUCCUUUCCUUUCCUUUCCUUUCCUUUCCUUUCCUUUCCUUUCUUUUCCUUUCUUUUCUUUUCCCUUUCCUUUUUUUUUUUUUUUUUGACAACAUUUUGCUAUGUAACUAAGGUUGGCCUCAAACUCAGGAUCCUGCCAGAGCCUCCCAAGUGCUGGGAUCAUAUGUAUGCUCUCACACCCAUCUGAUUGCUGGUGGUGUUUCUAUUCAUUCUCAUUCUUUCUCUCUUGGAAGUAUCUCGUGUGGCUCAGGAUGGCUUCAGACUCACUCACUAGUUAAAGAUGACCUUGAAUGCCCAGUUGGUAAUGUAGAGAUGAAGGAUCCAACCCAGAACCCCAUGCGUGUUAAACAUGCUCUAACCUCUGAGCCACACCCUUAGCUUCAACGUACUUUCUCUCUUUCCUUCUUCCUUCCUUUCUUCUUUUCUUUUCUUUUCUUUUCUUUUCUUUUCUUUUCUUUUCUUUUCUUUUCUUUUCUUUCUUUCUUUCUUUCUUUCUUUCUUUCUUUCUUUCUUCCUUUCUUCCUUCCUUCCUUCCUUCCUUCCUUCCUUCCUUUCUUUUUUUUGGUAGUGGGCAAAAUAAUGUUUCUUACAGUAGAUGGAAUAUUAGAUAUGAUGAAAUAUGGUGAAUAAUUUUGGCCAGAAAAUGUCUCCAUUUAUUUCCCCAGGGUUUUGGUUUUGGUGUUUUUGUGGGGGGGUGGGGGGUACAAUGACAUGGGGCUUGGUACAUAUAGAUGAAUCUAUGAGAACUUUUCUAAACUUCAAUUUUGCAUGUGUGUGGGAGGUAUGCAUGUGUGUGUGGGAGGUGUGCAUGUGUGUGUGGGAGGUGUGCAUGUGUAGACAUCAUAGACUAAUUUAUAGGAGUCAGCUCUCUCCUUCCUCCAUGUUGAAUCCCACCCAGGGAUUGAACUCGGGUCUUCAGACAUGAAGACGAAUGUAUUUACACACUGAACUAUUUCCCCAGCCCAGAAUAAUAUUUUUUAUAAUCAACUUAUUUUGAAAUGUGUAUCUAAUCACCAUAAUAAAGAUUUCAAAUGUAAGGGGUAGAUUUCCACAAAGGAAGAAAGGAGCAGGCCCAGGCAGCCUGGGUUCUGGUCCUGCUUUGGUUCUAAGUGACCAUAAGACCUUGGGUAGGUAUCCUCUUUGCAACUUCUCCUUUCUCCCUGUGAAAUGAUGGGGAGGAGUUGGCCACUGGACAAGGCUCCCGUUUCCUUUCUACCCUUCUUUAACUGUAACUCAGUGUAAAAGCUGGGGUCCUGGUGGCAAGCCAGGUUAGUCUUCCUCAGAGAGUGGUUAUAUCAAAAGGAUCGGUAAGAACUUGUCAUGGUCCCCUGUGAGCAGAUGGUCUCAUAAUAUAAGUGAGCAGGAAUAGUCUUUGAGUGGCCCUGAACUACCUGAAACUGUGAUCCUUCCCACAAGCUCAAGGUCCCCAUCUUGAGCACCAGUGACCUUAUUUGAAAACAAGUACUUUAAAGCUAGGUGCAUACCCUUUAUGUAAGCACAGAAGCAGGCAGACCUCUGAGUUUGAGGGCAACCUGGUUACAGAGCAAGUUCCAGGAUAGCUAGGGCUACAUAAAGAGGCCUGUCUUAACAACAAACAAAUGAAAUAAAGAAAUAAAGGAAUAAAUGGAGGGGGGGGACUUGAUUGAGUUAAAGUGAUAUCAUUAGUAUACACUGUAAUCCAGUAUUAUUGUAUUGUAGAAAAAUGGAAACUCUGGGCACAGAGACAGACAAGUGUGCAUAAAAAAGGGCAGUGUGAACCUGAGAUUUGGUGGUGCAGCUACAAGCCAAGGAACACCAAAGAUAGCCAGGAAACCACAGAAACCAGAUGAUCAGUGGUAGAUUCCCUCUCUCAGCCUUCGGAAGGAACCACUUACAGUCUGCUGAUACCUUAGAUUCCAGGACUGUGGGGUAGUAAAUUUCUAUGUUUAAGCCACUCCACUGAUGGAACUUUGUCCUGGCAGCCCUGGGAAACUGUGGGCUCAACUGAGGGCACAUUGCUUUAUUUGAUUCCUCACGGUCCUAUUGGCUGUUUCCCUAGGGACCAGAGUGAUACAGUAAUAGGAUGGAAAAGGCUUACCUUUGCUUUGACAGGGAGGGCUAAGAUUAAUCACAAACAAACAAGUGUGUCCUGUGUCAUGGUAAAACGUGAGAUGGGAAAAAAACAAGGGUUGGUGGGCAGCAUGGAGUUAAUACAUUAUGUAGAUGUGAUAGUUAGUAUUGAUUUCCUGUCUAGUUUCACCCUGUUGUUGUGAUAAAACACUCUAAUUUGGGGAUGAAACAGCUUAUUUGGCUUAUACUUCUGGAUCUCAGUUUGUUAUUGAGGGAAGUCAGGGAUGGAACUCAAGGUGGAUGCUUGAUGCAGACCGUGUGAAUGAAUUCUGUUUGCUGGUUUCUUUUCUUGCACACUUCUAGGUUAUCCUUAUCUAGCUUUCUCAUACAGCCCAAGGCGGCCUGCCUAGGGAUUGGUGCCGCUCACAGCGGACUGGGUCCUUCUACAUCAAUUAACAAUUAAGACAACAAAUACUUAACCCCUACCGACAUGCUUGCAAGAUAUUCUGAUAUAGGCAAUUCCUCCUCAGCUGAAGUUUCUCUUCCAAAGUGAUGGUAGGGUGUUUCAAGUUGACAGUAAAAACUAAGGCGCACGAUUGUCAGUUUCACACGAUCUAGAGUCAUUCAAGAAAUAAACCUCUGGGCAUGUCUUCGAGAGAGUUCUUAGGUUGAGUUAAGGGAAAAUUCACCCUAAGUGUUGUGGAUUUUAUGACUCUUGUAAUCACUGACAUACUUUGUUUUGAGACAGGGUCUCAUACUGUAGCUCAGGGUGGCCUCAAACGCACGGCAAUUCUCCUGCCUUAGCCUCCCUAGUUCUGGGAUUACCCAAGGUGAACCACUGAAACUAUCUAUCAAUCAUUGACAUCUUGACGGAAACCUUGAAGAGGUGCUCAUUUAGCCUCUAGGGUGUGUCCAAUCUGUGGUCCGAGGGCCACAUACAUCCCCAGAUAGUUAUAAAUGUAUAUUUGGAUAUUUUUAUAGAUGGAAACCUGUUACAAUGUCAAAAGGCUGGAUACUGCUGUAGCUAUGUGAUGUCAUAUCAAGGGAGCCAGUGUGGUACCACUAAAUAGGAAGCUCAAUUCUAGACUGAGAGUCAGAGUAAAGACUAGGGAAAUCACAGCCAUAAAAAUCAUCACAUGUCUGGCUAGCCCCGUCAGUGUUUGCAGAAGUCUGGGAGCUGGGGGUCAUUAUGUCACGAAAUGAUAAAAUAAAGCUUGGUGUAAAAUAAAGCCCAGAGCAUCCAGGAUGGGUGUAAUUCUCUUUUUAUGCUUUGAACAUCUGUGUUAUAAAUGAUAUUUUUCCUUGAACUUAAAAAGGGAAAGAUCCAAAAAUUAGUUUGGUCAAUAAAAUUGAAAAAGCUUAAAAAUAAUCCCAUCCACACUGGUUUGAAGGAAGAAAGCAUCUUCAUACUCUGGGGAGACUUUGAAUGAUGCCACGUUUUUGUAGGGUAAUUUGACAACACAAAUUAAAAGCCUUCAACUUGAGAAUAUUCUUGGAGAAAUUUUAAUUUUGGGAUGUACCCUUCUAUAGUAGUUCUUGGUGAUAGGUCCGAAGUUUUAUCCCCAAAAGUGUUUAUGGUAAUAUAAUUGAUAAUAGCAAGAUUGGCUAAUAUGGUGGCCUAUUGUCUGGCUAUUGAAAGGAAUGGUACUAAAUGAGAGUUUUCAAAUGUUUUAGUUUGUGUAUUCUUUCAGGACUCUGAUGGAGACAGUGAAGUCCAUUUUUGGUAAGAAAGUACAUAUGUGCUUAUAUAAAAUUCUUUUUAUACUCUCAGAGAAUUCAUGUACUAUGAAGUCCAUUCAUGCAGUUGGGGUGAAGACUCCAAGACUUAGAGCAGUUAUUGAUGACAUGGAUAAAUGGUCACAAAAGCAUAUCGACACACUGGCGUAGGGAUGGAAAGUAGGAGACUUGGGAGUGCUCUCCUGUAGGAUCCAAGACUUCUCAUCUUUCCGAUGCGAACUGAAUUAUGCUAGCAUGUCAACCAGGACAUUUCAGAGAAGCAUCGAACAGAAACGUGUUAGUAAACCUCUUACCAGAACACCCUCACUAUCGAUUUUUUUUUGUCACUAAAACACAAACCAGCAUGGGACAUUAAACAGGACCUUUGGUAUUUGGUGUUGGGAAAAUGCCCCCUUGGAUCUAGAGCUCUUUAGGAGUAAUGGCUUCCCGAAAAGAACUAUAGAGAAAAAGAAGGCAGAAUAACCCAGGUGCCUGAGCAUCUUUGAGGAGAGGUUGUCUGUACAGGUGUAUGAGGAAAAGAAAAUCUUAUUUAUGAAUGGAGUGUGGUGAUACACCCUAUCCCGAGCUUUUGUCCCCACCAGCAAGAACAUGCUCAGGACAACCGGAAUCUUCUGCGGCAAAAGCUUUAUUGCUUACUUCUUUAGGAACAAGAGGAGAAGAAUAGGGGCGAAUGGCAAAACCCUGUCCCUUUUAUGGAGGAUUGUCCUCCGCCUCGGACAUGUCGCUCCCUGAUUGGCUGCAGCCCAUCAACCGAGUUGUCGUCAAGGGGAAGGCAGAGCACAUGGAGUGGAGAACUACCCCGGCACAUGCGCAGAUUAUUUGUUUACUACUUAGAACACAGGAUGUCGGCGCCAUCUUGUAAUGGUGAAUGUGAGGGUGGCUCCUCACAACAUCCCUUUAAUCCCAGUACUGAAGGCAGAGGCAGGUGGAUUUCUGAGUCUGAAGACAGCCUGGUAUAGAGAGCUAGUUCCAGGGCUAUACAAGAAGACUCUGUCUUGCAAAAAAUGAAACAAAACAAAAUAAAACAAAUGAAUAAACAAAAAGAAAGAAGCUUCAAUUUUUAUAAAAUAAAAACUAAUUUAC